rnacentral:tRNA from 1 species
CAGGGAAUAGUUUAUCUAGAAUUUCAGCUUUGGGUGCUGAUGGUGGAGCUUGGGCUUCUUCCUUGA